rnacentral:lncRNA from 1 species
CUUGAAGGCAGCAUGCUCGUUAAGAGUCAUCACCACUCCCUAAUCUCAAGUACCCAGGGACACAAACACUGCGGAAGGCCGCAGGGUCCUCUGCCUAGGAAAACCAGAGACCUUUGUUCACUUGUUUCUUUGUUCACUUGUUUAUCUGCUGACCUUCCCUCCACUAUUGUCCUAUGACCCUGCCAAAUCCCCCUCUGCGAGAAACACCCAAGAAUGAUCAAUAAAAAAA